AGAGUUUGAUCCUGGCUCAGAACGAACGCUGGCGGCGUGGAUAAGACAUGCAAGUCGAACGAGACUUUCCGUUGUAGCAAUACGAUGGAAAGUUUAGUGGCGAACGGGUGCUUAACACGUGGGCAACCUGCCAUGAAGUGGGGGAUAGCUCGCCGAAAGGCGAAUUAAUACCGCAUGUGAUUAGAGAGGACAUCCUUUCGAAAUUAAAGUCGGGGCAACCUGACGCUUCUUGUGGGGCCCGCGGCCUAUCAGCUAGUUGGUGAGGUAACGGCUCACCAAGGCUUUGACGGGUAGCUGGUCUGAGAGGACGACCAGCCACACUGGGACUGAGACACGGCCCAGACACCUACGGGUGGCAGCAGUCGAGAAUUUUUGACAAUGGGGGAAACCCUGAUCGAGCGACGCCGCGUGGAGGAUGAAGGUCUUCGGAUUGUAAACUCCUGUCAUUUGGGAACAAGGUGCACACGUUAACUGCGUGCGUAUUGAUAGUACCAGAAGAGGAAGGGACGGCUAACUCUGUGCCAGCAGCCGCGGUAAUACAGAGGUCUCAAGCGUUGUUCGGAUUCAUUGGGCGUAAAGGGUGCGUAGGCGGCGCGGUAAGUCGGGUGUGAAAUCUCGGAGCUUAACUCCGAAACUGCAUUCGAUACUGCCGUGCUUGAGGACUGGAGAGGAGACUGGAAUUUACGGUGUAGCGGUGAAAUGCGUAGAUAUCGUAAGGAAGACCGGUGGCGAAGGCGGGUCUCUGGACAGUUCCUGACGCUGAGGCACGAAGGUCAGGGGAGCAAACGGGAUUAGAUACCCUAGUAGUCC
rnacentral:rRNA from 1 species